rnacentral:rRNA from 1 species
GACGAACCGUGCGAACGUUAUUCGGAAUCACUGGGCUUAAAGCGCGCGCAGGCGGCUAUCCAAGUCAGUGGUGAAAGCCCGGAGCUCAACUCCGGAACUGCCAUUGAAACUGUUUAGCUUGAGGAUGAGAGAGGUGAGUGGAAUUCCCAGUGUAGAGGUGAAAUUCGUAGAUAUUGGGAAGAACACCGGUGGCGAAGGCGGCUCACUGGCUCAUUACUGACGCUCAGGCGCGAUAGCGUGGGGAUCAAACAGG